UGAAAACCAAAAGGAAAAAAAAAAUCUUUCCUUUCUUUGGACGGUCUCUCUUGUUCAAUCUCUCCACGAUUCUACCUUUGCGUUAUCCCCAAAAUUCGCAACCUUUUUUUCUCUCUCUUCAACACAAUGGGUCCGCUUGCCAUCACCCAGCUAGCCACCGGUCUUAGCGUCUUAGCCGGCGCGGUUUUAGUCAAAUCGGUUCUUGACCAAAAGCCUAUGGCCGGUGGUCCUUCCCUCGUUGUCCGACCUGCAACGGUACGGGACGUGUCACGUGCUUCUGCUCUCGAUGGUCUGAUGGAGAUACUGGAUGUCGCAGGUGUUCCGGUUCUGGUCGGGCGGCUUGUAGCAACUGCGGAGGUACCGGAACCGGUACACCUUUACCGGUUCAGAUCACGGUUCGGCCGCCGAGUCGCCCUUUCUAAUUCCAAAGAUUUGCAUCCACUCUGAUGAACUGGUUGUUCCAGGAGCAGAGAUGAUAGAGUUUAUGGAUGUAUCUAAGUCAUCCAGCUCAUCGUCACUCGUGUAUUGUUUCUUAUAUACCGAUGACCCGACUUCUGAUAAAGAUGGGUUGUUCAGCUCUCCUAUGAAGCGUUUUAUGGAAUCUGUAGACGGCAUUAAGUAUACUGUUGGUGAUGCUGCACACGGGAAGACUAUAAUGCAUCCAUUAUCUUCUUCGCUCAAACCCUGAGUUUCAGACAAAAGGGUUUGUCAAGAAAAGACACACACACUGACUAUUGUAGUGUGAAGACGGUUUUUAUUCUAACCUCGGAGUUCAGAA